GCAGACACAUUCCAGCCAAUCAGCAGCAGACCCUCCCUCCCAGACCCUCCCACCUCCUGGACAGCAUCCAUUUUACAUCUAUUGUGAAGCUGCAUUCUUAGUGAGCUGUCCAGGAGGUGGGAGGGUCUGGGAGGGAGGGUCUGCUGCUGAUUGGCUGGAAUGUGUCUG